UCUCCGUUGGUGAACCAGCGGAGGGAUCAUUGCUGGAACAAACGCCCUCACGGGUGCUACCCAGAAACCCUUUGUGAACUAUACUUAAUCGUUGCCUCGGCAUUGGUUGACUUUGAAUAAAGUCCCUGUAGGCCCUUCUGGGCUUUCAGGAGCAGACCGGCCGACGGCCCCUAUAAACUCUUGUUUUUUGUACUGUCUCUUCUGAGUAAAAAAAACAUAAAUCAAUCAAAACUUUCAACAACGGAUCUCUUGGUUCUGGCAUCGAUGAAGAACGCAGC
rnacentral:misc_RNA from 1 species